AAUGCUCAAAGUACUCUUUCUCACUACAAUAGUUCUCUUCUUUUAGUUCCCCUUAUUUUUCUUUUAAGUCUUGUUGAUUCCCUCCAAGUUCAGAUUGAUUUGAACCCAAAAGUAGCUAUUUUGGACUAUUGGAGAUGGAAAAUAGCUAUUGAAAAUAAGUCUAGAUGAAAUUAUGCUCGUUGCAUAAUGAGCCAUUACGCCUGUCAGAAGCACUUGAGUCGGCUUGGUUUGGAUUCGAGUCGGCUUCAUUAUUUUUCAAGUCGGCUUGACUUCGGUUCUCAAAAAAUCUAACAUUCUAUUCAUCUGAGAGAGUCAGCUUCAAUUUGGAUCGAGUUAGCUCGGUUAUCAAUAACUCAAAUUUCAGUCUUCUAUCCUUUUGAGAGAGCUGGCUUCGAUUUGAAUCGAGUCGACUUGAUUCUCUGUAACUUGAUUUUCAGCUUUUCAUCCUUCUAAGAGAGCUGGCUCGAAUUCAAUCGAGUCAACUCGAUUUCAUGCCAAGCCAA
rnacentral:lncRNA from 1 species